AGCUGGUUCCCUCCGAAGUUUCCCUCAGGAUAGCUGGAGCUCGUGAUUCAGUUUUGUCAGGUAAAGCGAAUGAUUAGAGGCUUUGGGGCUGAAACAGCCUUAACCUAUUCUCAAACUUUAAAUGGGCAAGGCGCUGGGUGCUUGAUUGACCCGGUGCGUUGAAUGUGAGUUCCAAGUGGGCCAUUUUUGGUAAGCAGAACUGGCGAUGCGGGAUGAACCGAACGUGAAGUUAAGGUGCCGGAAUAUACGCUCAUCAGACACCACAAAAGGUGUUAGUUCAUCUAGACAGCAGGACGGUGGCCAUGGAAGUCGGAAUCCGC
rnacentral:rRNA from 1 species